CAUGGUUCCCUGUGCAGCGCCCCGUGGGUCCCAGCAGACACAGCACCAUAAUGGGAGACUUCUAGGCUGAGAGGGCAAAAGCUUCAAACAGCAGGUGGCAGCACCAGCUGUGUGGUGGCCAGGAGAUGGUCUAGCCUCCGCCUUCCUUCCAGAAGUCUCCCCAGCAUCCUCAACCAGGUCAGAUCCCCCAGCAUGACUCAACAUCUCUUCGACUUCCUUUCUGCAGCCCUGGCAGGGGCUGUGUUGCAGCGGUGCCUGUUGCAUGUGGAAGUCUCCCUUCAAGGUUUGCAUCAUGGAACUCACCUGGCCCAACCUCUCAGGGAGGAAAAUUCCAACCAGAGAGGGUGCGUGUCCUGUCCCCGGCCUGGCUGCCAAUACUUGAGCACCCUCCUCAGAGAAGCCUCCCCGGAUUGCCCUCUGCCCAGCCCAGCCCAGCCCAGCCCUCCACUGCCCGCUCUGCGUCCUCUGGAACAGCGUGUGUUCAGUACUGCAGGGAUGUGAGCCCCAUGCAGGCAGGGAUUCGGCCUUGUUGUACCAGUGUCUGGGACAGUGCCUGGCACACCGUAGGUGCUCCAUAAACAUUUGUGGGAUGUACAAAUAAAUGAAGGUUAUUGAAUUCAAGCUCCUCUGUUACCCACCAAGUGAUCCUUGGAGCAGCAGUGCUUGCACUCCUCCAGCAACGGGGAACAUUCUACUCACCUCCCGUGGCAGCAGGCUCUUUUUCUCUCUGUC